rnacentral:rRNA from 1 species
CAGCCGCCACGGGAAUACGUAGGUGGCAAGCGUUGUCCGGAAUUAUUGGGCGUAAAGGGCUCGCAGGCGGUUUCUUAAGUCUGAUGUGAAAGCCCCCGGCUCAACCGGGGAGGGUCAUUGGAAACUGGGAAACUUGAGUGCAGAAGAGGAGAGUGGAAUUCCACGUGUAGCGGUUAAAUGCGUAGAGAUGUGGAGGAACACCAGUGGCGAAGGCGACUCUCUGGUCUGUAACUGACGCUGAGGAGCGAAAGCGUGGGGAGCGAACAGGAUUAGAUACCCCGGUAGUCCCUGUCUCUUAUAC